UUAGAUGGCCAUACCACCCUGAAUGUACCCAAUCUAGUCUGAUCUUGGAAGCUAAGCAGGAUCGGGCUUGGUUAGUACUUGGAUGGGAGAAAACUUAGGGUUGUUCCUU
rnacentral:rRNA from 1 species